rnacentral:rRNA from 1 species
UGGNUCAACCAAUGUAUGCUUUGGAAACUGUUAGACUUGAGUGCAGAAGGGGAGAGUGGAAUUCCAUGUGUAGCGGUGAAAUGCGUAGAUAUAUGGAGGAACACCGGUGGCGAAAGCGGCUCUCUGGUCUGUCACUGACGCUGAGGCUCGAAAGCGUGGGUAGCGAACAGGAUUAGAUACCCUGGUAGUCCACGCCGUAAACGCUGAGUGCUAGGUGUUAGGUCCUUUCCGGGACUUAGUGCCGACGCUAACGCAUUAAGCACUCCGCCUGGGGAGUACGACCGCAAGGUUGAAACUCAAAGGAAUUGACGGGGGCCCGCACAAGCGGUGGAGCAUGUGGUUUAAUUCGAAGCAACGCGAAGAACCUUACCAGGUCUUGACAUCCCGAUGCCCGCUCUAGAGAUAGAGUUUUUCUUCGGAACAUCGGAGACAGGUGGUGCAUGGUUGUCGUCAGCUCGUGUCGUGAGAUGUUGGGUUAAGUCCCGCAACGAGCGCAACCCUUAUUGUUAGUUGCCAUCAUUAAGUUGGGCACUCUAGCGAGACUGCCGGUAAUAAACCGGAGGAAGGUGGGGAUGACGUCAAAUUAUCAUGCCCCUUAUGACCUGGGCUACACACGUGCUACAAUGGUUGGUACAACGAGUCGCAAGCCGGUGACGGCAAGCUAAUCUCUGAAAGCCAAUCUCAGUUCGGAUUGUAGGCUACAACUCGCCUACAUGAAGUCGGAAUCGCUAGUAAUCGCGGAUCAGCACGCCGCGGUGAAUACGUUCCCGGGCCUUGUACACACCGCCCGUCACACCACGAGAGUUUGUAACACCCGAAGUCGGUGAGGUAACCAUUNGGAGCCAG